rnacentral:rRNA from 1 species
CCCUGCCCUUUGUACACACCGCCCGUCGCUACUACCGAUUGAAUGGCUCAGUGAGGCGUCCGGACUGGCCCAGAGAGGUGGGCAACUACCACUCAGGGCCGGAAAGCUCUCCAAACUCGGUCAUUUAGAGG